CCUACGGGAGGCAGCAGUGAGGAAUAUUGGUCAAUGGUCGGGAGACUGAACCAGCCAAGCCGCGUGAGGGAUGAAGGUACAGAGUAUCGUAAACCUCUUUUGUCAGGGAACAAAGGCGGGGACGUGUCCCCGGAGGAGUGUACCUGAAGAAAAAGCAUCGGCUAACUCCGUGCCAGCAGCCGCGGUAAUACGGAGGAUGCGAGCGUUAUCAGGAUUUAUUGGGGUUAAAGGGUGCGCAGGCGGUCUGUUAAGUCAGCGGUCAAAGCCCGGGGCUCAACCCCGGCCCGCCGUUGAAACUGGCAGUCUCGAGUUGGAGAGAAGUAUGCGGAAUGCGCGGUGUAGCGGUGAAAUGCAUAGAUAUCGCGCAGAACUCCGAUUGCGAAGGCAGCAUGCCGGCUCCACACUGACGCUGAGGCACGAAAGCGUGGGGAUCGAACAGGAUUAGAUACCCGGGUAGUC
rnacentral:rRNA from 1 species